GCAGCCACUUCCGCCUGUCCUCCGGAAGUAGGUCCUGGGCAACCGCUGGCUCCCCACUUUCCCCCCCCCCCUCCAUCAUCAACGCGGGAGUUUUGCUGUCCUGAAGCUCACUGGGUAAACCAGGCUGUCCUCAAACUCAAGGAGAUCCAUCCUCUCCUGGGAUCACAGGUACAGAAGUCUCAGAAAGAUCGCAUUGCCUAGCAUCAGGAGCAAGGGCGUUACUGUUACAGAGCAGGAGAGAGCAAGAUUAGAGGAAGAGAUCAAAGAAGAACUUCUUUGGAGAAUUUUAAAGAAAGAACUUGUUAAGAGAACUUUUAGAGAGAGAACUUUGUGGAGAACUUAGAAAUAAAGAUUAAAAUCACUUUUCAAGGUGUCCCUUUUUCUUCCUGUGACUUUCAUUAGCAAGCUGGGAGUCAGAGCUGAGAAGUUUCUGCAGAGGAGGGACAAAGACUACUUAGCCUUCCUCUGUUUUGCUAUCAGUUGCUAAACAUCAGUGACUGCAGCUUCUGGCCUCAGAUGAACUCAGACAGGCAGGUCAGCUACAGAAGCAAAGUGACUUAGGCUUAAGAUAGGUAAAUGUUUUAUUAUUAAACAGAAACCCUAAAUGUCUCAUAAGAGCAAGUCUCGCCCUCGCCAACACUCUUCACCACUCUACUACCUUCAAGAGAACCAGAAAGAAGAAUCUCUGGGGCUGCCCCUGGCAAAAAGCACUUUUAUCUUGAUAAAUACACGUAAAUUUUAACAUCAUAACCAAAAAAAAAUACAAUUAAACAGUGCCAAGUACAUUCAUACUUUCAUGUAACCAAUCUCCAGAACUCCUUUCAUCCUCUAAAACUAAAAAUGGUGCCCACUAAGCAGUAACUUGCCAUUCCUUUGAUGGUCGGCCCAAGCAAACAGCCACUAUUUGUGUCCAUUGACAUGGCUGCUCUGUACACUUCAUUUUAGUGAGAUUAUGUGUUCAGAACUUCAAUUAUCACAUUUAUGUGGAAUACCUCACAUAUGUA